CUAUCUUAGGGUGUUCUUCUCUAUGGACCUCCUGGAAUGGGCGAGAAAUUGUUAGCCAGGGCAAUCGCUAGCAACAUAGAUGCCAAUUUCUUAAAGGUUGUAUCAAGUGCCAUUAUUUAUAAGUACAUUGGUGAGAGUGCAAGAUUAAUUCGGGAAAUGUUUAAUUAUGCUCCUGAUCACCAACCCUGCAUCAUUUUCAUGGAUGAGAUAGAUGCAAUUGGUGGAUGCC